GGUUUUCAUCCACCAGAUUGUAAGGCUUCACACCCUCGCACACUCAAAGCAAAGAGAGAUGACACAGAGAAAGGUGCAAAGAGUGUUUCAUGGCAGGCAUCUUAAGCUUUUUUAGCACGACUGGCCUUUGGCAAAGUAAAGAAGUGAAGACACCUAAGAAUGCCAAGCAUAAACUCUGCAAAGUUUAAGAAAAAAGAAAAAAAAAAAGAAAAAAAAAAAGACAAAGCAAACACAAAGAGUCGAGCCCGCCUCCUGAGACGGAAAGCAAAGCUGCCCUGCCUGGCAACAGCCCUCAUUUUGGCUGCCUCUCAUCUGGGCUUGGCCUUUUGACAAUAGAUGCGAUUGAAGCAAUCUUCACAGCCUGCAUUUCUAUUUGUCUGAAAGGUCAUCCAUUCAAAAGUUGAAGGUAGAGGGGAAAGGGUGAAGGGGUAGGUUGCUCAUCUGGGUAUAAGCAGGCAUUGAUGAAUGGCCGAGGAGCUGUGUGCAUAUUCUGAUGCCGCAGUCUCAUCUCCCUCUUAUCUCCUCCUCGUCUCCACAGAAGAUAGCCUCGAUCCACAGCUGCACUAAGCCGGCUCAAACUUCAGUCCAAUUCUUCUACAUGAAUAUUUCAUUUACAUUUUUUAAACCAUCAUCAUCUUACGGGUGACAGGGUAGCUGUAAACACUGCUGAUGGAAAGUAAGGAAAGGAAAUUGGGCUGAUGUCGGAAGUUUACAAACCAUAAAAUGAGCAAUUCUUGAAUCAAAGUUUGUAGCUAAAAGAGGAUAUAAUUAACAACUUGUCUGAUUUUGAGAACGCAAAAGCAUGCAGCCCUUCUAAAUCAGACAUCUGAUAAGUAUUUACUGCCUGAGUGUGCUGCUUAUGUUUCAACACCCCCAUAAAUUACCUCAAGCAAUUGGCAUUGAAAUAAGCUGCAGUACAUAAACACUAUAAAUUCAUAAUUUUGAAUUUAUAAUCUCAUUUUGGAUGCCAGUAAUUCAUUUAUGCUGCCACAUUAUUAGAAAAGGCUCCACUGGUUGUACUGUGACCUGAGAGUAACCUCAGUUCAACAUGAACGUGUGCCACUGGCUUUAUCAGAAUAAGCAUCAUUAUUUGCAAAAAUGUCAGAGGAGAUGAGGAAACACCUUAUUUUACCUACUGACUUCAAAGCAAGUUGUCUCUAUCUAUUACAAUACAAAGAAGAGGACUGUUGCACUCUUGUUUCCCUCCUUCGAGAGUGAAUCACAUCUCAGAUAAAUCAAUAAUGCUUCCUGCCUCUGUCUUGUGGUUAUAUGAAACAGUACUAGCAAAAAAUGAAUGUGCACUAUCAAUCAAAAACCUGAGCAUUUAUUUGAUAUGUUUGAAAAAAUCAUAUAAAUAAAAGAAAGGUAUCUCACUCCUA